UGCCUUCUUCUUAGAUAUGCUAGCCUUAAGGUUUAACUUUUUUUUGGAAUCCUUCUUAUCUUUCUUCUUAUUGAUCUUAUCAAUAAGAAGAAUCAGAGCCUUUUCACCUUUAAAAUAGCUCUCUACUAUUUUGAGUAUAUUCAGCAAUUCUGGCAGGCUGAUAUUCAAUUUGUUCAUGUGGUAGUUAAUGACAAACUAAGA
rnacentral:lncRNA from 1 species